GUGUUCGCUACGGCAGCACAUAUACUAAAAUUGGAAUGAUACAGAAAUUAGCAUGGCCCCUGUGCAAGGAUGACACACAACUUUGUAAAGUGUUCCAUAUUUAA
rnacentral:snRNA from 1 species